GCGGGCGUGGUGGAAUUGGUAGACACGCGAGGUUUAGGUCCUCGUGCCGCAAGGCGUGGGGGUUCGAGUCCCUCCGCCCGCA
rnacentral:tRNA from 1 species